rnacentral:tRNA from 1 species
UCCCUGAUGGUCUAGCGGUUAGGAUUCCUGGCCAUCUCACCCAGGCGGCCCGGGUUCGACUCCCGUCAGGGAA